UGAAAAAAAUGGACUUAGUGGGUCUUUGAAUUUAAAUAAAAUAAACAUGUAUAUGCAACACAAAAUAUUUAUAUUCCUUGUGUAAACAUAAUUUAAUUGAUUAGGAUUAAAAUGUUUUGUUUGAAUGUAAAAUGAACACAUUAUUCUCACAUUGAUUAAAAUUGAUUGAAUUGAAUGCUUAAAGCAAUAAAAUUGGGUUUGGACACAAAACGGCACCUCCUGAGCAGCAGGGGCAGUAUAGCUCAUUGAGAAGGACGUCGAUUGCCAUAAAAGAAGAAUAAAGAUCGUUUUUUUGGGCGCCAAAAUGAAGACUAAGCACAGCAGUCACUGCCAGUCAGUCAGAACAACUCUCUCAGACGGACACCACGUUAUUAAAGUAAGUUAUAUUAUUUAUUUAUGUUCGCUUCAUACGUGAUAUAUCUUCACUAGAUAGACUAUUUUUUUGUUUACAACAUGUAGCCAUUGCAAUGACUUGUAGUAAAAAUUAGUUUGGAGGAGGUUGGUGGAGUAAGUCAGUCAAGCUCAUAAAGAAAAACAUAGCGUUUUAAAAACGUCAGCUGUUUAAUGUUAUUUCACGUUUGGUAGUUUUAUCUGAGUUGAAAACUGUCAGCUUUGAGUUGACUUUUGAGGCACUUUUUACUCAGUUGUUCUAUGGAAACCUGUCAGGACAAAUAAAACGCUAACCAAAAGUUAUUCUGUCCAGAGUAACGUUAUCCAUGUAAGUAAUUUACCAGAUGAUAUCAAUUAACUACAUUAAUAAUGACAUUGCGUAUGAAACAAACGGUCUGCUUAAUCAGAUGAACAGACCCGCAUCAGUUAUUCGUGACUUCGCUACGCCAUGAGCAACACUUGAUUCAAUUAGAAAAAGCUCUUUUUUUUAAAUGUCUCGCGUGACGUCUGGUAUAUUAACUGAAAAAAAUCGCUUUGAAGUGCCACAUAAAGCUGACGUUUUCAGAAGAGCACCUUGUUGUUUUAAGAUCUCAUUUUGUCCAACAUUGCGUCCUAUGACAGAUAUAAUACUUUUUUCAUUAUUGCUCUAUGUAUGUGUGACCUUCAUCAUUUGAGGUUAUGUGUUGAUUUCACCUCUGAAUAUUUUCUCUUAUAGGUCCAUCAUCCUUGCACACACUCAAAAGCAUUGAUAAAUGCUGAAUUUGAAAGAAUCACUAUUGUCUUAUGUUCCUGCGUGUCACCUGGACCUCCAAUCCAAAAACCUGAUGAAACUCGUCUAUCAGAAAGGAGGACAGCUAGCAAAAAGACUUCAAACAAUCAAUGAUCAAAUGACAGAAGGCAUGGAUGAAGUCAGCAUCAGUGAGGUCAUUUGAAGACACCAAUGUUGGGAUUUGUGCUCUCAAACAACCUGCUUCUUGUGAUGAAGAAGAGGAUCUUUGUAUAGUCCUGGAAGGCAUGAAGGUGUUGCAACAUCGUGCCAUGUUGUUUGAGCUGAUGUAUGCCUUAAACCUGAGCUAUCCUGAUCUCCGCUUUAUUUUUGAGGAAAUCCAAAAGAUUUUAAUGGAACUGCAUUGAGAGUAACUUUAACGAACAGUUUCUUUCAGUGAAAGGCUCAGAAAGACUGUGCUGCUCAUUUUUGACUUUGUUUAUCUGUUUUAAGUGUUUUCUCUUAUUAAUACAUUAACAGUUUGCUGCUCAGAGUUGAUUUUGGAAAUGGUUGUUGUAUUUUGUUUUUGUUGAAUCUUUGAUUAUCAGUUUAUACAAAUGCUGUAGCUCUGACUUUCUGAAGGAUUGAUAUUUUCCAGUUUGUAAAUCCAUUUUAAAAAUAAUAGUACAUACUGUUUUGCAUGUCUCUUUGGAAUGCAGUGUUUGUGAUUCAGCACUUCUAAAUCUACUGUGAUAGUAACUAUUUUAAACAUUUGGGUCAGUUUCACAGAUGGGGCUUUUCCUAGUCCCAGACUUUUGCAAUGCCAUAUAUCAGUGCCCUUGUUUUGUCUAAAGAUGUACUCCAUUGUUGUUUUUGUAAGGUAGGUUUGUUUGUAAACAUUUUUGUAAAAAUAUCCUAAUAUAACUAGGGCCUAGUCAUGAAUUAAUCUACAACCUGUUUGGGAAAUUGCCCCUUUAUGUAUGUACUGCAUGUGCUGAUUGUUAUAAUAGUUAUUGACUGUUAUUGAAUUAAUGUGUAAUGAUUUAAAUGAAUUGAUGAUCUGAAAGCAGUGGUUUGCCUCAAUAUCACUAAACAUUUGUACAAAACUCUUCACUUUUUAUGCCAAUGCAAAUGUAUUUUGUAUUUAAAAAGAAAUAAAUAACAUUUGGAUAA